rnacentral:rRNA from 1 species
UACGUAGGGUGCAAGCGUUAAUCGGAAUUACUGGGCGUAAAGCGUGCGCAGGCGGUUAUGCAAGACAGAUGUGAAAUCCCGGGGCUCAACCUGGGAACUGCAUUUGUGACUGCAUGGCUAGAGUACGGUAGAGGGGGAUGGAAUUCCGCGUGUAGCAGUGAAAUGCGUAGAUAUGCGGAGGAACACCGAUGGCGAAGGCAAUCCCCUGGACCUGUACUGACGCUCAUGCACGAAAGCGUGGGGAGCAAACAGG